UGCUCUACAUAUAGGUGUAGAGGAACGGGAUUGUUGUCAAGCCCUCCAGUAAGAUUCCAAUGAGGAAUUUCUGG
ncrna:unclassified sequences RT-6 RNA